GCGCCAUCCCCGCGGAUGCACGACUCCUCGUGGCUCCCUGUGGCCACGAAAGCCACCAAAAGAGGGGGAGCAGGUGCCAAACUCCACACCGCGGGCUGCCAGGCUCCUUACUAUGCCAGGGUUAAAGGCAAAUCCGGCAGUGAAAGCCCCCCCCCAGCUCCGUGCGCCAGGAGAGCCGAGCCCCUCCGCUACAGCAGGACUCAUCCUGCCCAGCUGGGGUGCUGCGCCCACCCGCAGAGGGAGAAGCAGCCGUCAAUCCGGGAAGGGCAGCGACCGUUGCUGUAGGAAAUGUCCACACAGCCAGCCCCUGCUGACCUGCCACUUGACCUGCAAUACUGAUGGGGAUAAGAAGAGGUUGAGUAACUGUCCC